rnacentral:rRNA from 1 species
GUGCCAGCCGCCGCGGUAAUACCGGCAGUUCAAGUGAUGUCCCAUAUUAUUGGGCCUAAAGCGUCCGUAGCUGGCCGACCAAGUCUAUCGGGAAAUCCACCUGCCCAACAGGUGGGCGUCCGACGGAAACUGCACAGCUUGGGACCGGAAGGCUCGAAGGGUACGUUCGGGGUAGGAGUGAAAUCCCAUAAUCCCGCACGGACCACCGAUGGCGAAAGCACUUCGAGAAAACGGAUCCGACAGUGAGGGACGAAAGCCAGGGUCUCCAACCGGAUUAGAUACCCGGGUAGUCC